rnacentral:rRNA from 1 species
UACGGAGGGUCCAAGCGUUAUCCGGAAUCAUUGGGUUUAAAGGGUCCGUAGGCGGCCAAAUAAGUCAGUGGUGAAAGCCCAUCGCUCAACGAUGGAACGGCCAUUGAUACUGUUUGGCUUGAAUUAUUAGGAAGUAACUAGAAUAUGUAGUGUAGCGGUGAAAUGCUUAGAGAUUACAUGGAAUACCAAUUGCGAAGGCAGGUUACUACUAAUAUAUUGACGCUGAUGGACGAAAGUGUGGGGAGCGAACAGG